CGAGCGCAUCGCAAGUUCGAAGGCCCGAACGAGUGAACGUGGAGACACGAGAUAAAAAUGUUGCAGUUCCAUGGAAAAGUACCCUGUCGGGCGACGCCAAUGCCUACGAUACGCCAUCCGCUUGAAUGCAGGAAAGUGUAUAAAUCAGAAGCGGACGUCUGCGUAGGGCGAAGCCGCGUGCCAACUACGGCCUACUGCGAGCGAUGACGUAACACAGCCCUUCGAGGGACGCGACUGCAGCUGAGCAACAUCUCAAUGGUGCAACCUCGAGUUGAGGUGUGAAAUUGGCUCUCUAAAAUAAGACGCCAUUUGACGUAAAAAGAGCAAUAAUACGUACGUAUCAUUGCCCUCGCAUACUUCUAACUUUAGUACGUACUAGAAUAAAAAAAAAUCUCCUUUCGAGUGAAAUGAAACUACUAUUCCUGAAAUAUCAACGUCCAACGUUCAUAUUACACGAUUCGACAAUA